CUGAAACUUGCAAUGCAGAGUGGCAGUUGAAUUUGAGGGUUCCCAGGAAGUAGCCAUGAUGCCUACAUCCUCAUGAAUUCUGGUGUGUGGCGAUUGUUUGAGACAAAUCAAAUGCCUGAAGGACAUCUCCUCGCUGAUUCUGCAUAUCCUCUUAAAAAAUGGAUUUG